UUUACUUAAAUAUUUUUACAAAAAUCAUCCUUGCAAAAUGUGGUUUUACUGACAUAUUGCUAAACAUUUACAAAGAAUCAGUGCUGAUUUCAGCUCUGAAUUUGCAGCUCCGCAUUAAUGGUUUACAUUGCAUCAAUGGCUUUGAUCAAACUUAAUUAUUAAGUAAGUUAUUGACUUACUUAACACUUAAUUUUCUUCUGAAGAUUUGAACUAUAGUGCAGUGCUUCAAUCGUUAUUCACUUUAAUUAUAAGAACAGCAAGGAUAUUCUUCAAAUAUUUAGCUGUUUCAUUGAUAGAGGAAAGUCAUGUGGAUUUAAACUGAUAUUUUUGAAUUGCCAGUAUAUCCAUAUCUAGACCCAGUUUAAAUUUUUGAUAAUUUGUAUUUUUAUUCCUAAAGUGUGGGUGUGGGAGGAGUUUAUUACCAAAUAGCUCUUCUGGUUUUCUGGUUCUCUCUGAAACCAAAUAUGACGUCUAUUGAAAACUGAAAAGUAAACUACUGCAAGCGUUAUCAUGCCAUGAUUGGAAAACAGUACCUUUUAAUAAAUUAUAAAUUAUCUUGUCAAACAUGGUUGAAGUUAGUAAAAGAGUCUCGACGCCUCGUUUUCCUCCAAAACCAUAGUAUAGUUUUGAAAGGUAUUGAAAAACAAGUGGUACUUUUCUGUGUAUUUAUAGUGUAAAUGACAAUCAUUCAACUGAUUUUUGCACUUGCUUUCAGUUCGGAAUCUAUGGCUGCUCAUGGCCCAAUGUUUCCUCCUCAUGCAUGAUUGGCAUCUCAAGGAAAAAUGCCUAGCAACUAGAAAAGUUCAGCCCUGUUAAUGCUUUGAGGGAAGCAUUGUUUUGCCAUUAAAAAUGUCUGCUUAAAAAUG